UACGUAGGGUGCAAGCGUUGUCCGGAAUUAUUGGGCGUAAAGAGCUCGUAGGCGGUUUGUCGCGUCUGCUGUGAAAACUCGGGGCUUAACCCCGGGCCUGCAGUGGGUACGGGCAGACUAGAGUGCGGUAGGGGAGACUGGAAUUCCUGGUGUAGCGGUGAAAUGCGCAGAUAUCAGGAGGAACACCGGCGGCGAAGGCGGGUCUCUGGGCCGAAACUGACGCUGAGGAGCGAAAGCGUGGGGAGCAAACGGG
rnacentral:rRNA from 1 species